rnacentral:rRNA from 1 species
UACGUAGGGAGCAAGCGUUGUCCGGAAUCAUUGGGCGUAAAGCGCGCGUAGGCGGCCUCAUAAGUCCGUUGUGAAAGUCAAAGGCUCAACCUUUGAAAGCCGAUGGAUACUGUGAGGCUAGAGUCCGGAAGAGGCGAGUGGAAUUCCUGGUGUAGGGGUGGAAUGCGCAGAUAUCAGGAGGAACACCAAUAGCGAAGGCAGCUCGCUGGGACGGUACUGACGCUAAGGCGCGAAAGCGUGGGGAGCGAACAGG